GGCUACAUCGCGUUGAUACACCGGUUCCCGUACGAUCACCGAAGUUAAGCAACGUCGAGCUUGGUCAGUACCCAGUUGGGUGACCGUUUCGAAAUACUUGAUGCAGUAA